GUUUGUUGUUGUUGAUGUUUGUGUGUACUCCCUGGGAGGUAGGGAUCUAUGUUUGUUGUUGUUGAUGUUUGUGUGUACUCACUGGGAGGUAGUGAUCUAUGUUUGUUGAUGUUUGUGUGUACUCCCUGGGAGGUAGUGAUCUAUGUUUGUUGAUGUUGAUGUUUGUGUGUACUCACUGGGAGGUAGGGAUCUAUGUUUGUUGAUGUUUGUGUGUACUCACUGGGAGGUAGUGAUCUAUGUUUGUUGUUGUUGAUGUUUGUGUGUACUCACUGGGAGGUAGUGAUCUAUGUUUGUUGAUGUUUGUGUGUACUCACUGGGAGGUAGUGAUCUAUGUUUGUUGUUGUUGAUGUUUGUGUGUACUCACUGGGAGGUAGUGAUCUAUGUUUGUUGAUGUUUGUGUGUACUCACUGGGAGGUAGUGAUCUAUGUUUGUUGUUGUUGAUGUUUGUGUGUACUCACUGGGAGGUAGUGAUCUAUGUUUGUUGAUGUUUGUGUGUACUCACUGGGAGGUAGGGAUCUAUGUUUGUUGAUGUUUGUGUGUACUCACUGGGAGGUAGGGAUCUAUGUUUGUUGAUGUUUGUGUGUACUCACUGGGAGGUAGGGAUCUAUGUUUGUUGUUGUUGAUGUUUGUGUGUACUCACUGGGAGGUAGUGAUCUAUGUUUGUUGAUGUUUGUGUGUACUCACUGGGAGGUAGGGAUCUAUGUUUGUUGUUGUUGAUGUUUGUGUGUACUCCCUGGGAGGUAGUGAUCUAUGUUUGUUGAUGUUGAUGUUUGUGUGUACUCACUGGGAGGUAGUGAUCUAUGUUUGUUGUUGUUGAUGUUUGUGUGUACUCACUGGGAGGUAGUGAUCUAUGUUUGUUGUUGUUGAUGUUUGUGUGUACUCACUGGGAGGUAGGGAUCUAUGUUUGUUGAUGUUUGUGUGUACUCACUGGGAGGUAGGGAUCUAUGUUUGUUGAUGUUUGUGUGUACUCACUGGGAGGUAGGGAUCUAUGUUUGUUGAUGUUUGUGUGUACUCCCUGGGAGGUAGUGAUCUAUGUUUGUUGAUGUUUGUGUGUACUCACUGGGAGGUAGUGAUCUAUGUUUGUUGAUGUUUGUGUGUACUCACUGGGAGGUAGUGAUCUAUGUUUGUUGUUGUUGAUGUUUGUGUGUACUCACUGGGAGGUAGUGAUCUAUGUUUGUUGAUGUUGAUGUUUGUGUGUACUCCCUGGGAGGUAGUGAUCUAUGUUUGUUGAUGUUGAUGUUUGUGUGUACUCACUGGGAGGUAGUGAUCUAUGUUUGUUGUUGUUGAUGUUUGUGUGUACUCACUGGGAGGUAGUGAUCUAUGUUUGUUGAUGUUUGUGUGUACUCACUGGGAGGUAGUGAUCUAUGUUUGUUGUUGUUGAUGUUUGUGUGUACUCACUGGGAGGUAGGGAUCUAUGUUUGUUGAUGUUUGUGUGUACUCACUGGGAGGUAGGGAUCUAUGUUUGUUGAUGUUUGUGUGUACUCACUGGGAGGUAGUGAUCUAUGUUUGUUGUUGUUGAUGUUUGUGUGUACUCACUGGGAGGUAGUGAUCUAUGUUUGUUGUUGUUGAUGUUUGUGUGUACUCACUGGGAGGUAGGGCUCUAUGUUUGUUGUUGUUGAUGUUUGUGUGUACUCACUGGGAGGUAGGGAUCUAUGUUUGUUGAUGUUUGUGUGUACUCACUGGGAGGUAGGGAUCUAUGUUUGUUGAUGUUUGUGUGUACUCACUGGGAGGUAGUGAUCUAUGUUUGUUGUUGUUGAUGUUUGUGUGUACUCACUGGGAGGUAGUGAUCUAUGUUUGUUGUUGUUGAUGUUUGUGUGUACUCACUGGGAGGUAGGGCUCUAUGUUUGUUGAUGUUUGUGUGUACUCACUGGGAGGUAGGGAUCUAUGUUUGUUGAUGUUU